rnacentral:rRNA from 1 species
CUCAGAACAAACGCUGGCGGCGUGCCUAAUACAUGCAAGUCGAACGGGGAAAGUAGCAAUAUGAGUACUAGUGGCGCACGGGUGAGUAAUGCGUGGAUAAUCUGCCUUCGAGUUGGGGAUAACUAGUCGAAAGAUUAGCUAAUACCGAAUAAGACCACAGGAUCUGAGGAUCUAGGGGUUAAAGGUUUUUCGCUUGAAGAUGAGUCCGCGUGAGAUUAGCUAGUUGGUGAGGUAAUGGCUCACCAAGGCGACGAUCUCUAACUGGUCUGAGAGGAUGAUCAGUCACACUGGAACUGAGACACGGUCCAGACUCCUACGGGAGGCAGCAGUAGGGAAUAUUGCACAAUGGAGGAAACUCUGAUGCAGCGACGCCGCGUGAGUGAUGAAGGCCUUCGGGUCGUAAAGCUCUGUCGCAGGGGAAUAACACAAUGAAUGUACCCUGUAAGAAAGGAUCGGCUAACUUCGUGCCAGCAGCCGCGGUAAGACGAGGGAUCCUAGCGUUGUUCGGAAUUAUUGGGCGUAAAGCGGGUGCAGGUGGCUUUGUAAGUCAGGUGUGAAAGCCCAGGGCUCAACCCUGGAAGUGCAUUUGAUACUGCGAAGCUUGAGUGUAGGAGAGGUUACUAGAAUUCUUGGUGUAGUGGUGAAAUACGUAGAUAUCAAGAGGAAUACCGGUGGCGAAGGCGGGUAACUGGCCUAACACUGACACUCAGACCCGAAAGCGUGGGG